CCUCACAGCCCACUUAGCAGAGCUAGAGGCAGUAUAAAAGUUGCUUGGUUCUGUAGUCCAUCACUCGCUCAGAGUUGCGCUGUUGAACGUGUCAUCAGAACCAAGAAGGGGCCACUGCACAGAGAUGUGUUCCCGACAGAGCUCCGGAGGCUGCCACGAGUCAUCUUCCCAGUCCGGGGGAUGCUGCAGUGGGGGCAGCUCCUCCAGCUACCAGGCACAGGGCUCCUCCUGCUGCGGGGGCUCCUCGGGAUACAGCAUGGGAGGAGGAUACAGCGGUGGCAGUGGGGGAUCGAGCCAGAAGAUCAUCAUUAGCUCAGGAGGAGGAGGAGGAGGUUCGUCUGGAUGCUGUGGUGGAGGAUCCAGCAGUGGUGGGUCUUCAGGAGGCAAGAUAAUCAUUGGAGGAGGUGGAAGUAGUGGGGGAUCCUCUGGGUGCUGCAGUGGAGGCUCCUCGGGCUACGGAAUAGGAGGAGGAUACAGCAGUGGUGGUUACUCGGGAUCCAAGAGCAUCAUUGGAGGAGGUGGAAGCAGUGGUGGAUCCUCUGGAUGCUGUGGUGGAGGAUCCAGCAGUGGUGGCUCUUCAGGUGGCAAGAUCAUAAUUACUGGAGGUGGGAGCAGUGGGGGAUCCUCUGGGUGCUGCAGUGGAGGCUCCUCGAGCUACGGCAUGGGAGGAGGAUACAGCAGUGGUGGUUACUCAGGCUCCAAGAGCAUCAUUGGAGGUGGGAGCAGUGGUGGAUCCUCUGGAUGCUGUGGUGGAGGAUCCAGCAGUGGUGGGUCUUCAGGUGGCAAGAUCAUAAUUACUGGAGGUGGGAGCAGUGGGGGAUCCUCUGGGUGCUGCAGUGGAGGCUCCUCGGGCUACGGAAUAGGAGGAGGAUACAGCAGUGGUGGUUACUCGGGCUCCAAGAGCAUCAUUGGAGGAGGUGGAAGCAGUGGUGGAUCCUCUGGUUGCUGUGGUGGGGGAUCCAGCAGUGGUGGGUCUUCAGGUGGCAAGAUCAUAAUUACAGGAGGUGGAAGCAGUGGGGGAUCCUCUGGGUGCUGCAGUGGAGGCUCCUCAGGCUACGGAAUAGGAGGAGGAUACAGCAGUGGUGGUUACUCGGGAUCCAAGAGCAUCAUUGGAGGAGGUGGAAGCAGUGGUGGAUCCUCUGGAUGCUGUGGUGGAGGAUCCAGCAGUGGUGGCUCUUCAGGUGGCAAGAUCAUAAUUACUGGAGGUGGGAGCAGUGGGGGAUCCUCUGGGUGCUGCAGUGGAGGCUCCUCGAGCUACGGCAUGGGAGGAGGAUACAGCAGUGGUGGUUACUCAGGCUCCAAGAGCAUCAUUGGAGGUGGGAGCAGUGGUGGAUCCUCUGGUUGCUGUGGUGGAGGAUCCAGCAGUGGUGGGUCUUCGGGAGGCAAGAUCAUCAUUGGAGGAGGUGGAAGCAGUGGGGGAUCCUCUGGGUGCUGCAGUGGAGGCUCCUCGGGCUACGGAAUAGGAGGAGGAUACAGCAGUGGUGGUUACUCAGGCUCCAAGAGCAUCAUUGGAGGAGGUGGAAGCAGUGGGGGAUCCUCUGGUUGCUGUGGUGGGGGAUCCAGCAGUGGUGGCUCUUCAGAAGGAAAGAUCAUCAUUACUGGAGGUGGGAGCAGUGGGGGAUCCUCUGGAUGCUGUAGUGGGGGAUCCAGCUAUGGAAUGGGUGGAGGAUCUAGUGGUGGUUAUUCAGGAUCCAAGAGCAUCAUUGGAGGUGGAAGCAGUGGAGGUUCCUCUGGAUGCUGCGGUGGUGGCUCUUCUGGCUAUGGCUCUUCUGGCUAUGGCUCUUCCAGCUAUGGCAGUGGGGGAUCAGGCCAGAAGAUCAUCAUUAGCUCUGGAGGUGGAGGAGGUGGCUCAUCUGGAUGCUGUGGUGGGGGAUCCAGCAGUGGUGGAUCUUCCGGAGGCAAGAUCAUCGUUGGAGGAGGUGGAAGCAGUGGGGGAUCCUCUGGAUGCUGCGGUGGGGGAUCCAGUGGGGGCAGUGGCGGUUCCUCGGGCCACACCAUCAUCAUCAGCUCCGGAGGAGGCAGUGGUGGGUACGGCCAGUCCUCGCAGCAGAAAUGCCCCAUUGUCAUUCCUCACAUCGAGAGCCACCAGACCAAGCAGGCCUGCUACUUUCCUGGCCAGCAGAAGUGACCGCCCCCGACAGCGCAGCACUCAGCAGGAACAGCCCUGCCUCUGUUUUCCAUGUUUGUCUGCUUCCCCACCAUGUGUCCUCUUCUCAAUCCUUGAUGCUCCAUUACUAUGCCAUGAACUCUGGGCUUAACAACCUUUUGCUCCGUGCUGGUGUUGUGAUUUCUUUGGUCAAAUUGUGCUCCAUUUUCAGUAAGGAUUUGUAGUACCUAAUAAAUAUCACGACAUCACAAUGUAGAUUUAUUUUUGAGUUUCUUUUUUUCUUGCUUUCUCACACAGCAUCUCAUCAUCUCAGAAGCAGGAAAUGUAUCUGAUAAGUUAUCAGACUCCCUGACUGAGAUGUUCUGCAGUGCAUCAUCACAGCUCUAAAGCCAAUGCACCAUAGAGUCUAGAAGGCUGCUGCACCUUUUCUUUUCCUCUGGGCUCCAAAGUAGAGCAACAACACAUCCUAAAGCAUCAAACACCCACAGCUCCCAGCAUCCCCUUGACUCCUGUGUUGGUGGUGCCCUUUCACUG
rnacentral:lncRNA from 1 species